rnacentral:tmRNA from 1 species
GGGGAUGAAAGGCCUCGACAAAAAGAACAUUUUUAAAUUGUGCAUGGAGAGCUUGGUUAACUCGUAAACUGACCAAAAAAGAUAAGUGCAAACUUAUUGACUAAAGCACGACUAGCAUUUGCUUCCGUUUUUGGAGGUAAUUACGGUCUUGCUCCAGCAUACGCAUAAAAGCAUUUUGCUGGCGUCUAUACUCUUGACUUCCGAUAAGGAGAUAUAGGUGUAAUAUUUUCGGAAUAGAAAUGUAAACCGUUCUGAUUGCAUUUCAAAAUCAAAGAACUCGGUAUUGUGUGAUUUUGAAUAUUUUUUACGCACAAUACUCAAACAAAAAAAUAUUCUAAACAUGUAGAUCCAACUAAAAAUCCUUUUUGCACCCGAGUUCAACUCUCGGCAUCUCCAC